AGCUGAUUAAAACUCUUUUCUUUAUAAACUACCCAGUUCCAGCACUGUAAGCUAUUUGGCAUAUGAAGGUCUUGACCUAAGAAAACCAUCUUGGAUAACCACAGCAAGGAAAAGGAAAAAUGCAACACCUAGGAGAUUUCAGUAAACAGUAGAAUCAUGCCAACCUAAUCUGUGUUAAAAUGCUUGGAAUGUGGGAGCCGCUGAUGAUGCCUGUUGUCUGUGUGUCUGACUGAAUCCUUUCUUUUCUCAGAGCAGCAAAGCAAAGCCUGGGAACCAGGCCAAAUGCCUGCCACUUACCUUAAAUUGAUCAGCCACUUUGAGAUUAAAACCCCUGAAAGCUGCCACACCGUGAAAACAAGGCCUCCUUCACAUUAAAGGCAAAUUGCGACUUUGG